UUACUCAUGAAGACUCUUGUGAUUUUCCUCCCGGAAUUGGAGCUUAGCCCCUGGUCUUGCACAAAAUGGAGGCUACAUUGGAAGCCUAAUAAUGGAGCUUCCGAUGGGAUCAGAAGGAUCCUUGCAAGCUGUUCCUCUCACCUUUCAGGUCUGCUGCUCUGGUGUGGUUAUGAUGAAUCCAAACUACAAUCCCGUCUGUC